UGCCAGGGCCCAUAGGGUUCUAGUCAAAAGUAGUGCCCUAUAUAGGGAAUAGGGUGCCAGGGCCCAUAGGGUUCUAGUCAAAAGUAGUGCCCUAUAUAGGGAAUAGGGUGCCAGGGCCCAUAGGGUUCUAGUCAAAAGUAGUGCACUAUAUAGGGAAUAGGGUGCCAGGGCCCAUAGGGUUCUAGUCAAAAGUAGUGCACUAUAUAGGGAAUAGGGUGCCAUUUUAAUACACCCAUGGCGUUUCGCGGCACAGAAAGGACAAUACUGACAGUAUAGGAGUAGUUCAAUAACUGGUGAGGAACAACGGAAGGAGAGUUUUAAAAACGGUUUAUUUAAAAGGUAUGUGUGGUGGAACGGACGCCAGGGAGAAUAUGUGUCCCGAUAACACAUUGAACAACGGAAGGAGAGUUUUAAGAACGGUUUAUUUAAAAGGUAUGUGUGGUGGAACGGACUCCAGGGAGAAUAUGUGUCCCGAUAACACAUUGAACAACGGAAGGAGAGUUUUAAGAACGGUUUAUUUAAAAGGUAUGUGUGGUGGAACGGACUCCAGGGAGAAUAUGUAUCCCGAUAACACAUUGAACAACGGAAGGAGAGUUUUAAGAACGGUUUAUUUAAAAGGUAUGUGUGGUGGAACGGACGCCAGGGAGAAUAUGUGUCCCGAUAACACAUUGAACAACGGAAGGAGAGUUUUAAGAACGGUUUAUUUAAAAGGUAUGUGUGGUGGAACGGACGCCAGGGAGAAUAUGUAUCCCGAUAACACAUUGUCAGUGUUUAUGUAGGCCGUUAUUGUAAAUAAGAAUUUGUUCUUAACUGACUUGUCUAGAUAAAUAAAGGCUAUAUACAC